rnacentral:rRNA from 1 species
GCCAUGCAUGUCUAAGUAUAAACGAUUUAAUCGUGAAACCGCGAAUGGCUCAUUAUAACAGCUAUAAUUUACUUGAUCUUGACACAAUCCUACUUGGAUAACUGUGGUAAUUCUAGAGCUAAUACAUGCAUUAAAGCUCUGACCUCACGGGAAGAGUGCAUUUAUUAGAACAAAACCAAGCGGCUUCGGCUGUUUCUGGUUGACUCAUAGUAACUGAGCUGAUCGCAUGGUCUUGCACCGGCGACGUGUCUUUCAAGUAUCUGCCGUAUCAACUUUCGAUGGUAGUGUAUCUGACUACCAUGGUGAUCACGCGUAACGGAGAAUAAGGGUUCGGCUCCGGAGAGUUCGCCUGAGAAAUCGCGAACACAUCUAAGGAAGGCAGCAGGCGCGAAAAUUACCCACUCUCAGCACGAGGAGGUAGUGACAAAAAAUAACGAGACCGUUCUCUUAUGAGGCCGGUCAUCGGAAUGGGUACAAUUUAAACCCUUUAAC